AGAGACGUGAAGAUCAAAGAGGAGGCACAGAGACUCAGGGAGGAGCCGAGCUGUUCCUGAACUACAGAAGAGACAAAAACUGAAAUAUUCAGCAGAGAUCAGCUUACAGAUCAGAAACAUUUCCUCCAACAUGCUGUCACUGGACUCUGCUACAGUUUCUCUACUGAUGCUCACUCUCCUAACAGGCGUCAGCUGUCAACAACUCACCCCAGACAAGAAAGAAGAGUCCAGUUUAGAAGGCAGCACUGUUACUCUGUCCUACACUUACAAAGUGUCAACUGGAGAUUAUUUCUACUGGUAUCGACAAUAUCCAGGAAAAGCACCAGAAGUCCUGAUCUCACACGGUGCUUCAGGAUCAGUAGGAGAAGAAAAAAUUGCUGGACUGAAGAUUCAAGUGGAGGGAAACCAAAUCAAGAUGAGCAUCAUCUCUGCUGCAGUGACAGACUCUGCUGUGUACUACUGUGCUGUGAAGCCCACAGUGACAGGAAACAGCAAAACUCUGUACAAAAACCUUUGGAGCGAAGACGACAGAAUACUCCACAACAUCCACUAG